rnacentral:rRNA from 1 species
AGAGUUUGAUCCUGGCUCAGGACGAACGCUGGCGGUGUGCUUAACACAUGCAAGUCGAACGGUAAGGCCCUUUCGGGGGUACACGAGUGGCGAACGGGUGAGUAACACGUGAGUAACCUGCCCUCAUCUCUGGGAUAACAGUCGGAAACGGUUGCUAAUACUGGAUAUGAGCUUGCAAGGCAUCUUGUGGGUUGGAAAGAUAUUUUUUGGUUGGGGAUGGACUCGCGGCCUAUCAGCUUGUUGGUGAGGUAGUGGCUCACCAAGGCUUCGACGGGUAGCCGGCCUGAGAGGGCGACCGGCCACAUUGGGACUGAGAUACGGCCCAGACUCCUACGGGAGGCAGCAGUGGGGAAUAUUGCACAAUGGGCGGAAGCCUGAUGCAGCAACGCCGCGUGCGGGAUGACGGCCUUCGGGUUGUAAACCGCUUUCACCCAUGACGAAGCGCGAGUGACGGUAGUGGGGGAAGAAGCACCGGCCAACUACGUGCCAGCAGCCGCGGUGAUACGUAGGGUGCGAGCGUUGUCCGGAAUUAUUGGGCGUAAAGAGCUUGUAGGCGGUUGAUCGCGUCGAUAGUGAAAUCCCGGGGCUCAACCUCGGGCUUGCUGUCGAUACGGGUUGACUUGAGGAAGGUAGGGGAGAAUGGAACUCCCGGUGGAGCGGUGGAAUGCGCAGAUAUCGGGAAGAACACCGGUGGCGAAGGCGGUUCUCUGGACCUUUCCUGACGCUGAGAAGCGAAAGCGUGGGGAGCAAACAGGCUUAGAUACCCUGGUAGUCCACGCUGUAAACGGUGGGUACUAGGUGUGGGUCGCAUUCCACGUGAUCCGUGCCGUAGCCAACGCAUUAAGUACCCCGCCUGGGGAGUACGGCCGCAAGGCUAAAACUCAAAGGAAUUGACGGGGCCCCGCACAAGCGGCGGAGCAUGCGGAUUAAUUCGAUGCAACGCGAAGAACCUUA